GUUUUAGCUAUUACAAUGCUGGUUGAAUAUCCUCAUAGCUAAAUAUCUGUGCAGUUUUAAAAUUUCCUUAUAAGUUACUAGAAAUGGAAUGACUGGGUUAAAGGACAUGAUCAUUUUUUAAGACUCUUGAUACAUACUUACAAAUUGCCUCCCGAAAAAGUGGUGCUAAUUUACUCAAAUUGGUAAGCCUCACCCCCUCUGUGGAUCAUUCCUUGCACUAAGUUUCUUCCAACUCUGUCACCUCCAGCUUUUUACUCACAGCCUACCUUCCAAUCUGGGGCCCAGCUCCCAGAUCGGAAGAUACCAGACUUUGGUAUUGAACCAAAGUCCAAUACACUGCACUGGCAUUCAGAGUCCCUUUUUAUUCCGC
rnacentral:lncRNA from 1 species